GGGUUGUGAGGUUAAGCGACUAAGCGUACACGGUGGAUGCCCUGGCAGUCAGAGGCGAUGAAGGACGUGCUAAUCUGCGAAAAGCGUCGGUAAGGUGAUAUGAACCGUUAUAACCGGCGAUGUCCGAAUGGGGAAACCCAGUGCAAUUCGUUGCACUAUCGUUAACUGAAUACAUAGGUUAACGAGGCGAACCGGGGGAACUGAAACAUCUAAGUACCCCGAGGAAAAGAAAUCAACCGAGAUUCCCCCAGUAGCGGCGAGCGAACGGGGAGCAGCCCAGAGUCUGAAUCAGCUUGUGUGUUAGUGGAACGGUCUGGAAAGUCCGACGGUACAGGGUGAUAGUCCCGUACACCAAAAUGCACAGGUUGUGAACUCGAAGAGUAGGGCGGGACACGUGGUAUCCUGUCUGAAUAUGGGGGGACCAUCCUCCAAGGCUAAAUACUCCUGACUGACCGAUAGUGAACCAGUACCGUGAGGGAAAGGCGAAAAGAACCCCGGCGAGGGGAGUGAAAAAGAACCUGAAACCGUGUACGUACAAGCAGUGGGAGCACCUUCGGGUGUGACUGCGUACCUUUUGUAUAAUGGGUCAGCGACUUAUAUUCUGUAGCAAGGUUAACCGUAUAGGGGAGCCGCAGGGAAACCGAGUCUUAACUGGGCGUUAAGUUGCAGGGUAUAGACCCGAAACCCGGUGAUCUAGCCAUGGGCAGGUUGAAGGUUGGGUAACACUAACUGGAGGACCGAACCGACUAAUGUUGAAAAAUUAGCGGAUGACUUGUGGCUGGGGGUGAAAGGCCAAUCAAACCGGGAGAUAGCUGGUUCUCCCCGAAAGCUAUUUAGGUAGCGCCUCGUGAACUCAUCUUCGGGGGUAGAGCACUGUUUCGGCUAGGGGGUCAUCCCGACUUACCAACCCGAUGCAAACUACGAAUACCGAAGAAUGUUAUCACGGGAGACACACGGCGGGUGCUAACGUCCGUCGUGAAGAGGGAAACAACCCAGACCGCCAGCUAAGGUCCCAAAGUCAUGGUUAAGUGGGAAACGAUGUGGGAAGGCACAGACAGCCAGGAUGUUGGCUUAGAAGCAGCCAUCAUUUAAAGAAAGCGUAAUAGCUCACUGGUCGAGUCGGCCUGCGCGGAAGAUGUAACGGGGCUAAACCAUGCACCGAAGCUGCGGCAGCGACACUAUGUGUUGUUGGGUAGGGGAGCGUUCUGUAAGCCUGCGAAGGUGUGCUGUGAGGCAUGCUGGAGGUAUCAGAAGUGCGAAUGCUGACAUAAGUAACGAUAAAGCGGGUGAAAAGCCCGCUCGCCGGAAGACCAAGGGUUCCUGUCCAACGUUAAUCGGGGCAGGGUGAGUCGACCCCUAAGGCGAGGCCGAAAGGCGUAGUCGAUGGGAAACAGGUUAAUAUUCCUGUACUUGGUGUUACUGCGAAGGGGGGACGGAGAAGGCUAUGUUAGCCGGGCGACGGUUGUCCCGGUUUAAGCAUGUAGGCUGGUUGUCCAGGCAAAUCCGGAUAAUCAAGGCUGAGGUGUGAUGACGAGGCACUACGGUGCUGAAGUAACAAAUGCCCUGCUUCCAGGAAAAGCCUCUAAGCAUCAGGUAACAUCAAAUCGUACCCCAAACCGACACAGGUGGUCAGGUAGAGAAUACCAAGGCGCUUGAGAGAACUCGGGUGAAGGAACUAGGCAAAAUGGUGCCGUAACUUCGGGAGAAGGCACGCUGGUGUGUAGGUGAAGUCCCUGCGGAUGGAGCUGAGACCAGUCGAAGAUACCAGCUGGCUGCAACUGUUUAUUAAAAACACAGCACUGUGCAAACACGAAAGUGGACGUAUACGGUGUGACGCCUGCCCGGUGCCGGAAGGUUAAUUGAUGGGGUUAUCCGUAAGGAGAAGCUCUUGAUCGAAGCCCCGGUAAACGGCGGCCGUAACUAUAACGGUCCUAAGGUAGCGAAAUUCCUUGUCGGGUAAGUUCCGACCUGCACGAAUGGCGUAAUGAUGGCCAGGCUGUCUCCACCCGAGACUCAGUGAAAUUGAACUCGCUGUGAAGAUGCAGUGUACCCGCGGCAAGACGGAAAGACCCCGUGAACCUUUACUAUAGCUUGACACUGAACAUUGAGCCUUGAUGUGUAGGAUAGGUGGGAGGCUUUGAAGCGUGGACGCCAGUCUGCGUGGAGCCAACCUUGAAAUACCACCCUUUAAUGUUUGAUGUUCUAACGUUGGCCCCUUACCGGGGUUGCGGACAGUGUCUGGUGGGUAGUUUGACUGGGGCGGUCUCCUCCCAAAGCGUAACGGAGGAGCACGAAGGUUAGCUAAUCCUGGUCGGACAUCAGGAGGUUAGUGCAAUGGCAUAAGCUAGCUUGACUGCGAGCGUGACGGCGCGAGCAGGUGCGAAAGCAGGUCAUAGUGAUCCGGUGGUUCUGAAUGGAAGGGCCAUCGCUCAACGGAUAAAAGGUACUCCGGGGAUAACAGGCUGAUACCGCCCAAGAGUUCAUAUCGACGGCGGUGUUUGGCACCUCGAUGUCGGCUCAUCACAUCCUGGGGCUGAAGUAGGUCCCAAGGGUAUGGCUGUUCGCCAUUUAAAGUGGUACGCGAGCUGGGUUUAGAACGUCGUGAGACAGUUCGGUCCCUAUCUGCCGUGGGCGCUGGAGAAUUGAGGGGGGCUGCUCCUAGUACGAGAGGACCGGAGUGGACGCAUCACUGGUGUUCGGGUUGUCAUGCCAAUGGCACUGCCCGGUAGCUAAAUGCGGAAGAGAUAAGUGCUGAAAGCAUCUAAGCACGAAACUUGCCCCGAGAUGAGUUCUCCCUGAGACUUUAAGUCUCCUGAAGGAACGUUAAAGACGAUGACGUUGAUAGGCCGGGUGUGUAAGCGCAGCGAUGCGUUGAGCUAACCGGUACUAAUGAACCGUGAGGCUUAACCUUACAACGCCGAAG
rnacentral:rRNA from 1 species